GACGAACGCUGGCGGCGUGCUUAACACAUGCAAGUCGAACGGAAAGGCCCUGCUUUUGUGGGGUGCUCGAGUGGCGAACGGGUGAGUAACACGUGAGUAACCUGCCCUUGACUUUGGGAUAACUUCAGGAAACUGGGGCUAAUACCGGAUAGGAGCUCCUGCUGCAUGGUGGGGGGUGGAAAGUUUCGGCGGUUGGGGAUGGACUCGCGGCUUAUCAGCUUGUUGGUGGGGUAGUGGCUUACCAAGGCUGUGACGGGUAGCCGGCCUGAGAGGGUGAACGGCCACAAUGGGACUGAGAUACGGACCAGACGCCAACGGGAGGCAGCAGUGGGGAAUCUUGCCCAAUGGGCGGAAGUCUGAUGCAGAAACGCCGCGUGCGGGAUGACGGUCUGCGGGUUGUAAACCGCUUUCGCCUGUGACGACGCGUGAGUGACGGUACUGGGUAAAGAAGCACCGGCUAACUACGUG
rnacentral:rRNA from 1 species